UACGUAGGGGGCAAGCGUUGUCCGGAUUUAUUGGGCGUAAAGAGCUCGUAGGCGGUUUGUCGCGUCGAAUGUGAAAACCCGGGGCUCAACCCCGGGCCUGCAUUCGAUACGGGCAGACUAGAGUUCGGUAGGGGAGUCUGGAAUUCCUGGUGUAGCGGUGAAAUGCGCAGAUAUCAGGAGGAACACCGGUGGCGAAGGCGGGACUCUGGGCCGAUACUGACGCUGAGGAGCGAAAGCGUGGGGAGCAAACAGG
rnacentral:rRNA from 1 species